AUUGAACGCUGGCGGCAGGCUUAACACAUGCAAGUCGAACGAUGAUUUCCCAGCUUGCUGGGAAUGAUUAGUGGCGGACGGGUGAGUAACAUUUAGGAAUCUGCCUAGUAGUGGGGGAUAGCUCGGGGAAACUCGAAUUAAUACCGCAUACGACCUACGGGUGAAAGGGGGCGCAAGCUCUUGCUAUUAGAUGAGCCUAAAUCAGAUUAGCUAGUUGGUGGGGUAAAGGCCCACCAAGGCGACGAUCUGUAACUGGUCUGAGAGGAUGAUCAGUCACACCGGAACUGAGACACGGUCCGGACUCCUACGGGAGGCAGCAGUGGGGAAUAUUGGACAAUGGGGGCAACCCUGAUCCAGCCAUGCCGCGUGUGUGAAGAAGGCCUUUUGGUUGUAAAGCACUUUAAGCAGGGAGGAGAGGCUAAUGGUUAAUACCCAUUAGAUUAGACGUUACCUGCAGAAUAAGCACCGGCUAACUCUGUGCCAGCAGUCGCGGUAAUACAGAGGGUGCGAGCGUUAAUCGGAAUUACUGGGCGUAAAGCGAGUGUAGGUGGCUCAUUAAGUCACAUGUGAAAUCCCCGGGCUUAACCUGGGAACUGCAUGUGAUACUGGUGGUGCUAGAAUAUGUGAGAGGGAAGUAGAAUUCCAGGUGUAGCGGUGAAAUGCGUAGAGAUCUGGAGGAAUACCGAUGGCGAAGGCAGCUUCCUGGCAUAAUAUUGACACUGAGAUUCGAAAGCGUGGGUAGCAAACAGGAUUAGAUACCCUGGUAGUCCACGCCGUAAACGAUGUCUACUAGCCGUUGGGGUCCUUGAGACUUUAGUGGCGCAGUUAACGCGAUAAGUAGACCGCCUGGGGAGUACGGCCGCAAGGUUAAAACUCAAAUGAAUUGACGGGGGCCCGCACAAGCGGUGGAGCAUGUGGUUUAAUUCGAUGCAACGCGAAGAACCUUACCUGGUCUUGACAUAGUGAGAAUCUCUCAGAGAUGAGAGAGUGCCUUCGGGAACUCACAUACAGGUGCUGCAUGGCUGUCGUCAGCUCGUGUCGUGAGAUGUUGGGUUAAGUCCCGCAACGAGCGCAACCCUUUUCCUUAUUUGCCAGCGGGUUAAGCCGGGAACUUUAAGGAUACUGCCAGUGACAAACUGGAGGAAGGCGGGGACGACGUCAAGUCAUCAUGGCCCUUACGACCAGGGCUACACACGUGCUACAAUGGUAGGUACAGAGGGUUGCUACACAGCGAUGUGAUGCUAAUCUCAAAAAGCCUAUCGUAGUCCGGAUUGGAGUCUGCAACUCGACUCCAUGAAGUCGGAAUCGCUAGUAAUCGCGGAUCAGAAUGCCGCGGUGAAUACGUUCCCGGGCCU
rnacentral:rRNA from 1 species